rnacentral:rRNA from 1 species
GAUGAACGCUGGCGGCGUGCCUAAUACAUGCAAGUCGAGCGAACAGACGAGGAGCUUGCUCCUCUGACGUUAGCGGCGGACGGGUGAGUAACACGUGGAUAACCUACCUAUAAGACUGGGAUAACUUCGGGAAACCGGAGCUAAUACCGGAUAAUAUAUUGAACCGCAUGGUUCAAUAGUGAAAGACGGUUUUGCUGUCACUUAUAGAUGGAUCCGCGCCGCAUUAGCUAGUUGGUAAGGUAACAGCUUACCAAGGCGACGAUGCGUAGCCGACCUGAGAGGGUGAUCGGCCACACUGGAACUGAGACACGGUCCAGACUCCUACGGGAGGCAGCAGUAGGGAAUCUUCCGCAAUGGGCGAAAGCCUGACGGAGCAACGCCGCGUGAGUGAUGAAGGUCUUCGGAUCGUAAAACUCUGUUAUUAGGGAAGAACAAAUGUGUAAGUAACUAUGCACGUCUUGAUGGUACCUAAUCAGAAAGCCACGGCUAACUACGUG